rnacentral:misc_RNA from 1 species
GAUUCAAUAAUGCCUUCCCAUCCAGCAGUCCAGACGGUAACUAACUAGCUUCCUAUUAUUUUUCCUUGUAAUGAAUUGCUGUUCCAAAUAAAAAUUAACUAUAGUACAACAUGCAGUAUAGCUUAUUGAUAUGUUGUUCAAGAAUUGGUGGAGGACUCGGUUUAUCCAUUAAGGAAUUUAGAUAUAUUUUAACUUAAUGAUGAGUCCCACUACAAUUCAAUUAAUUCAUAAAAGCCAUCCUUAAACAUUGUUUCACCAAUCCUUAGGCAACCCAUUAAGUAACAUUGAUUGUAAUCGAUUAUGCUUUUGUUUUGAACGAAAAAUGUCCCUUUAUGGUUUCCUAAUAUUUUUGCAAAUGGGUUGAAAAUCGUAAUAGGGAUGAAAUUAGUUUUUCGAUCCACAAGAGAUGGAGGGGAUAAGAAAUACAAGAAUCUAUAC